UACGGAGGGUGCAAGCGUUAUCCGGAUUCACUGGGUUUAAAGGGUCCGCAGGCUGUUAGAUAAGUCAGUGGUGAAAUUCUCGAGCUUAACUGGAGAACUGCCAUUGAUACUGUUUAACUAGAGUAUAGUAGAGGUUGGCGGAAUGUAACAUGUAGCGGUGAAAUGCGUAGAUAUGUUACAGAACACCGAUUGCGAAGGCAGCUGACUAGACUAUUACUGACGCUGAUGGACGAAAGCGUGGGUAGCGAACAGG
rnacentral:rRNA from 1 species